rnacentral:rRNA from 1 species
GAUGAACGCUGGCGGCGUGCCUAAUACAUGCAAGUCGAGCGAACAGAUGAGGAGCUUGCUCCUCUGACGUUAGCGGCGGACGGGUGAGUAACACGUGGAUAACCUACCUAUAAGACUGGGAUAACUUCGGGAAACCGGAGCUAAUACCGGAUAAUAUAUUGAACCGCAUGGUUCAAUAGUGAAAGACGGUUUUGCUGUCACUUAUAGAUGGAUCCGCGCCGCAUUAGCUAGUUGGUAAGGUAACGGCUUACCAAGGCAACGAUGCGUAGCCGACCUGAGAGGGGGAUCGGCCACCCUGGAACUGAGACACGGUCCAGAGUCCUAAGGGAGGCAGCAGUAGGGAAUCUUCCGCAAUGGGCGAAAGCCUGACGGAGCAACGCCGCGUGAGUGAUGAAGGUCUUCGGAUCGUAAAACUCUGUUAUUAGGGAAGAACAAAUGUGUAAGUAACUAUGCACGUCUUGACGGUACCUGAUCAGAAAGCCACGGCUAACUACGUG